UCUGUGUCAGAAAAAAAACUGUUUAUCUUAAUGUAACAUCAAACAAGGAACAUACAUUUGAUUUUUUUAAGUAAUUUGCCACACAUAGAACUAAUUUUACCAACUUGGCUUGAACUUGUACUCAAACAGAUGAAAUACUUUUGGUUAAUUAGGGAUGUCUUUGGUUUCAAAGAAAUAAUUCCUUUGAACGGCUCCUUUGAGUGAAGGAAUGGAUUUUGUAUUCUGCAUUCAUUCUAGAACCAUGGAGAACCCAGUCGUACAUUGAAUGCUCUGUAAUAGGCCAAUGCUUAGAACCCAGUCAAUACUUAAAAGUUCCUUUAGCAACUGAUUAAUGUUGAACUGAAGGUUUAAUUAACCAUUAACAUGAUGCUCAAUGUAUCUUCCGGAAACUUCAGCUGAAUCAGAUACUUCUCAGCUUGAAGGCAGCAAAUUUCUAGAGGACAAAAGGGGACUGGAGCCUGUUGAUCAAUAGCUUUAAAUUGUGGAAAUGUUUCCAUCUUACUGUAUUCUUCAGAGUCAAAGGGAACAAAGACACGAGGUAGGUGGAUAUAUUAAACCAAAACCAGGUGUACAAUUGUCAUCGUGGAAUUGGUUGGACAGGGUUUCAGAUCUGUUAGAUGAUAAAUCUAAGAGCAGAGCGGCAAAGUUAGCAUCCAAGUGUCACAUCUGUAACACUGUGCCAGAAGCAGAAGAACUGAAAGUGUCAUGAUCUCUGCUCCAGCUCCUGUUUCUCUCCUUCAUUCUUCCUCCUGGUCUCUCCUUCUUCCUCCUGUUCACUCUGUAUCUGUCUUCUGUUCUGACCUGUCUGUCAUCCCUCCCUCUUGUCUCUCUCGUCCCUGUCUCUGUCUCUCCCUGCUCACCUGUCUGCACUCAGCUGAUUACUGCAGGUGACACUCGUUGCAGUAAUCAGCUCACCUGCACUCGAUCUCACCUGCUCACUAUUUAAACCUCAUUCCUUCACUCACUCUCUGCUGGAUCAUAAAGAAUCACAUCCCUUCAGAGACUUUGCUCCACUUCUGGAUCCUGUUCUCCCCACUGAGCUCUGCUGCCUCUCGACUGCUUCAACCCCCAUGGAUUCUACUCCUCUCCCCCCGGAUUCCCUGGGUCUUCUAUCUAGUUUUUCCCCUGGUUUAAAGUUACAGAGACAGAAGUACUAAAAGCAUCAAAACAAAUAUCUGUCAAAGAGGUAAAAAGGUUUCAGUUGCUGGCCAUGCUGCCACUGCUGGAGGGCCCAAUGGUGAACGAAAUCCGGGUGGAUCACCUACUCUUCAGUGUCGACAUUGAGAUUGUUCAAUGUAAGGCGCUCAGAAACCAUUUGAGAACCAACAACCGCUUUUUCUACAACAAAGUGUAUUAUCAUCGCUGGUUCUGUGGCCAAAGUCCUCGAGUGGACGUGUGCUCCGUGAGUCGCCUUGGCUUCUCCACUUAACCCUACUCUACAUUCAUUCAUAACUUUAGUCAUCAGGAUGAAUCGAAGCGGAGCAAAAUCAUGACGUAAGCAAUAAACACUAUAUUUGUCUCACACACGGUGACUCUGGUGGAGGAGUGGUGUACAAGAACAAACUCUACGGUGUCAUGUCUUUCACGGGUGAUAUGGACCAUGUAUGUACUGCACCAGCUGCAUUCAUGGACAUCUGCAAUCAAGAAUACUUAAAAUGGAUCAAAGAUACGAUUAAAA